rnacentral:rRNA from 1 species
AUGGAGAUAUGGGAACCAGCCUUGGAUCCGCGGAAGCAUUUCUCACAAGAUGAUAUCCAGAAUAUAAGGAUUCAAUAUAUGAAUCAACUAUUCUUUUGGAAGAAAAACACCGCAGACAAGAGGCUGGUCACUGAUUUCAACCUACAGGUACAAGCAAAGAAAAUCAGAGUUGCAGGUCAGGAGCUUUUUCAUUUCAUCAUUUUCAUUUUGAAGCUGGACAUUUUCUCGAGGAUGCUGCUGCAUUGUCUAUCUCACUGCUGCAGUUGCAAAUCGACAUCAGUAGUUAAGUUGCUGGCGAUGAUGCCUUCACUUUUCUUCCUCUCAGCGUUCUGUUUCCCUAUAUAUAAGUUCCACAUCUUUUGUCAUUUUUCCAAUUUUAUUUUAUUCUUACCACCCUACCUCAAGUCUUGGUGUGUUGGUUGGCGUGUCGGUGUUUUCCAAUACUUGAGCCACCCCUGUUUGUGGUAA